AACACAUGCAAGUCGAGCGGAUGAAGGGAGCUUGCUCCUGGAUUCAGCGGCGGACGGGUGAGUAAUGCCUAGGAAUCUGCCUGGUAGUGGGGGAUAACGUUCCGAAAGGAACGCUAAUACCGCGUACGUCCUACGGGAGAAAGCAGGGGACCUUCGGGCCUUGCGCUAUCAGAUGAGCCUAGGUCGGAUUAGCUAGUUGGUGAGGUAAUGGCUCACCAAGGCGACGAUCCGUAACUGGUCUGAGAGGAUGAUCAGUCACACUGGAACUGAGACACGGUCCAGACUCCUACGGGAGGCAGCAGUGGGGAAUAUUGGACAAUGGGCGAAAGCCUGAUCCAGCCAUGCCGCGUGUGUGAAGAAGGUCUUCGGAUUGUAAAGCACUUUAAGUUGGGAGGAAGGGCUGUAGGCUAAUAUCCUGCGGUUUUGACGUUACCAACAGAAUAAGCACCGGCUAACUUCGUGCCAGCAGCCGCGGUAAUACGAAGGGUGCAAGCGUUAAUCGGAAUUACUGGGCGUAAAGCGCGCGUAGGUGGUUCGUUAAGUUGGAUGUGAAAGCCCCGGGCUCAACCUGGGAACUGCAUCCAAAACUGGCGAGCUAGAGUACGGUAGAGGG
rnacentral:rRNA from 1 species